CGCCUGCUUAGCCUGUCCACGUCAGUGCCCCGGACGAAGCCCGAAGUUUCUCCAGCUGUACGCCCUUUGGCCGUCCAGGUUUCCCCUUUCGUGCUGCUAUGGCCUGCUGCUCCGAAGCUCUUGUCUCGGGGGAAUAGCGCUGCUGCCUACAGCCACAACCAUCCUGUACUGUUCGCACUCUAAAUCAAGAAGUGGAAGCAGACUGGUAAAGGACAGAAUGAACCCAAGGCCAGACCCAUUCUCACAAAUCAGCCCAGAGGCCCGACACUCCGAAAACCCCUGAGUACCACGGACAGACGUCCCCAACACCGCCAGCGCCCACCCUGGCUCACCGUGCGGAUCUGCCUCCGCAAAAG